AAACAGUUUGACACCCACCUUUGAUUUCAUUUCAGACAUUCAGAAGGCACUAGCUAGGAUAAUGUAAACAGAUUUUAUUUAAAUAGACUUUAGAAAAAGCUGUCAACCAAACUAAAACACCUGCAUAAACAAUAGCACGAACAAAGCUGCAUAAACAAUAGACUUUAGUCAUAUGUCUGAACAUUGUGUCCUAUCACGCGGCUUCUUGCUUGGGGCAGUCUUCACUCUUGUGCUCGUGUUCCUCUUGCC
rnacentral:lncRNA from 1 species